AGUUCUCCUCUGCACAGACUUCGGAGAUACAGCGAAGGCGGAGCAGUGUUUUCCUCAGCACAGACCCGGGCGGGCGGGCCGGGGGCACCGCGAGGGCGGAGCUGCGUUCUGCUCAGCACAGACCCGGGGUACACCUCGAAGGCAGAGCAGCUUUCUCCUCAGCACAGACCUUGGGGACACUGUCUCCCUUUGAGCAGAAUAGAUUACUGAUUUUGGGCACUCCAAGAUUUUGGGAGAGACCUCUCUCGUGAGAACCUUAUGUGGAACCCCCACCUGCUUGGCUCCUGAAGUUCUUGUUUGUGUUGGACUGCUGGGUUUUAGGAGUUAUUCUUUUUAUCUGCCUUAGUGGGUAUCCACCUUUCUCUGAGCAUAGGACUCAAGUGUCACUGAAGGAUCAGAUCACCAGUGGAAAACACAACUUCAUUCCUAAAGUCUGGGCAGAAAUCUCAGAGAAAGCUCUGGACCUUGUCAAGAAGUUGUUGGUAGUGGAUCCAAAGGCAUGUUUUACGACAGAAGAAGCCUUAAGACACCAUGGUUUCAGG